UCAUUUUCGUCCCCUCUCUCUCUCUCUUCAUCUCCAUACAACCUCUCUUCCCUUCUCAUCUCUCUUUCCCUUCUCUAAACCCUAGCUCGCCGCAAUCCCUUUCUCCACCACAUCACCACCCCCGAUUGUAACACAAAUCGCAUAUCCGUUCUCCCCUCUCACGACCUUCCUAAUAAACAAAAUAGACUUUUGUUUUGACGAACCUUGCCGUCGACCACCCCCUUUCAUUCUCCGACCGUCAUAGCUCGAAACGGAAAAAGAAAAUAUUUUCCUUCUCUUCUCUGAAUGCUCUCUUUAAAGAACCAAACAUAUUUUAUUUCGGAGCAAUUUUAUGUUUUUUUCGGCAGUUAUCUUUUUCAUUUGAUGUAUUUUUCAGAUUCUGAUUGUGUGAUGUGUCUCCUAAUGGUUUGUGUAUAAUUUCACACAGGUAUGCAGUUCGAUACACUAAAUAGGUAAGAAGAACAAUUAGGUGUGAUUUAUUGUUUAUUGUUGUUUUAGACCAGGUCUUGUUUUAUUUUGAAUGUGUGUUUUCUAUUGUUUCUCCCUACUUUAAAUGCUAUUGUUUCUGUUUAAUCAAGUCUGAAAAAUGUUUUAUGCUUCAUUUUUCAAAUAUCCUUAUGAUAAAGCUGCUACUGUAGCAAUUUCUACCAUCAAAGAGUUCUCAAAAUGACUUCAAAGAGGUAUGUUAAUGAUUUUGGUUCAGUUGAUUGAAUUUGGUUCAGUGGCCUGAGUUUGAUUGACCUUUCCAUUUUUCUCAUCUACUUAUGCUAAAAUUUUAAACUAACUUAUGCUAACUGCUUAAACUGACUUAACCAUGUUUUCUGCUUAUUGACUUAACCCCAUUUUCUAUUAAAUGACUAAAGUGACUUAUUAGUAGUAAUGCCAAAACCAACCACACCAUACUUUUUUUAUUUUGAAUAUAAUUGUUUCACAACAUGACUAUACGUGUUAUUGUAUACAUCAUACUUCAUACAGUACAAGACCAUCAAAAACCAUUACAAGUAUCACUGCUCAAGUUUUAUGUAGUUCAAUAUUGUAUGGAUUGUCUUGCUUAUUCAAUUUUGUUAUGCAUGAUCACAGAGCAAGAACAACUCAUUAGGGAGUGGAGUCAUGCAAACAAACUCUCACAAAGCCACAUUUUUCUUUUGAAGUAUAUGUUGAGUAACUUAAAAGCUACAUCUGAAGCUGCAAGUAAGCCAUAACGGGGAAGCACAUGCCCAAUAUAUGCGGGUUCAUCUUGCCGGCAAAAAUGCAUUGCCACAAUACAAUGAACAUGCACGGGAACAUAGAUUAAAGUUGUUAAUUGGAGAAAGUUUUUGGCAUGUACGAACACAUUUUGCCAGGCCUAAUUGGAAUAAGGUUUUCUCUAAAAUGUGUUCCAAGCACUAUAAUGGACGAAUAGGUUAGUCUCCAUCGAGCAUAUGUUGGCACUUCAUACAUGGUAGUAUCAUAUAUACCAUUUUCUGUCUUUCUUGUGCUAACAUUAUAACAGUCUUAAUUCAUAUCAGGGGUAUUUUAUUGUGGCACCAGUUUUGGCCAAAGAACUUAAUAAGCUAUGCUUCGAGUUCAAUGAAAAUGGUCCAACAAAAUUUGAGUUUCACAAGGAGUAUUUCUAACUAAUUUGGAUGGAGCAAAAACUGCUGACCUUAUUAUAUGACUAUGUUCAAUAACCUAAAACUUUUUUUAUAAAAUGUGAAGCAUCAUACAUACAAAACAUCCAAAUUACCUGGCAUUUUCCAUGCAUGUGGCUGCAAAGAAGAAGAGAUAACUGCAGCUUAUGUACCCUCCAUUAUACGUUACAAAUAUUGGAUACAUUGAUCUAAUUGGAUUCCUGAGCGGUUACCUGAGCAAACUCUAAAUUUUAUUAAUUCUCAUGUCGCUUGCAAACAAUUUAUUGAGUGGAAAUGUUCCGUCCAGCAUUUGGCAAAACAAUAUUUCAAAUCUUGGUAAAAGAUUGCUACUUUAAGAUCUCUAUAGCGUUUCUCUUCUAGCUAGGUGUAUAUUUUUUAGUGCGUAUGAGUAAUGCUUGGUUGUUUCUAUUGAGCAAUAUGCCGUAGCAUAAGGGCAGCCGUAACAUUGAUGUUCAUGCAUCUUAAAAGCAAUUUGUCAAGGAUGAGUACUUCAGGUUUGUCGACAUGUUCUGAUAGUGCAGUUGAAGCAACACUAACCCCAAUUUUGAUUCCCGGGAGCAGUGGGGAUGCAUUAGACGUGACUUUUAGUCAGAUGGUUUGUGGUUGCGUCAUUGCCAAAGAGAUCAAUUACGGCGUCAGAAAGAAGAAGAGAUGAGACAAAAUGGGCAGAAGAAUGGGAGAAGAGAGAGAUUCAAAACUCUUGAAUUCUUCGAAGGAACCAAAUUGGUCCCUGUGAUUCUGUUUGUGUUAUUUCUGCUUUGUACCGAAAAAUAUCAAAAAUUGUAUAUCCUUAGCUUUGCAGCCUAAUUUUGAUUAUCCAUGGUCGUAAUCCUUUUUGCAGUCAGUGUUUUAAGCUCUUUGAAUGGCUGCUAACUGUAAAUUUCUGCCCCAAUUAAUAGGGUCUCCAAUGUUGUAUUGCCAAUGCUAUUGCAAUCUCUAAUGUUGUAUUGCCAAUGCUACUACCAUCAAUUCUAUCUCGAAUGCAGAUUUGGUUAAAUUGUGAUCGCUUAAAGCCUUACUGUAAAAAGCAAUAGGCCAGUCUUGCUGCAAAAGAACGACACCCGACCCAUUACCCGGAGCAUCACUUUCGAUUACAAACUCUCGAGUAAAAUCAGGAAGAGCUAGCGCCGGGGCUGUUGUCACCUCCUUCAUAAGAAUCUCAGAGACUUCUUUCUCCUUAAACUUUACAGGGUGGACACAUUGGCUUCUGAGAAGGGUAUGAAGUUGCUGGAAUCUGGAAGUUAAUGCUGCAUUUGUUAUCGUUUUUGAAAAAUUAAUAAUGUUUUUGCUAUUGCCAGUGCAAUUUUAUUAGUUGAAUAAAUACUUUGUUGUGACAUAAGUCAAAAUUUAUAAUUAAUCAUGUUUAUGGCAAAUCAAAUUGUAAAAAAGUUUGAAAGGUAUUUGACACAAGAACUCUAAUAUUGACAAUGACAAAAAACAUAUACUAAUGAACAUGGGAAACUCUUCAUGCUGCGAUGAACUUUCGUUUAUGCUCCCAGGCUUUAGAAUCUCUCCUAAUAUAUCAAGUUUUAGUUUAUGAAUGAUCAACAGAUUUUGUUUUUAUCUUAUUUAGAUUCAUAAAUUCCAUAGGU